rnacentral:rRNA from 1 species
GACGAACGCUGGCGGCGUGCUUAACACAUGCAAGUCGAACGGUGAAGCGCUUGCCUUUUUGGUGGGUGUGGAUGAGUGGCGAACGGGUGAGUAACACGUGAGUAACCUGCCCUCUUCUUCUGGAUAACCUCAUGAAAGUGGGGCUAAUACGGGGUAUUCCGGGUCUGUCGCAUGGCGGGUUUGGGAAAGAUUGCGCCUUUGGGUGUUUUCGGUGGGGGAUGGGCUCGCGGCCUAUCAGCUUGUUGGUGGGGUGAUGGCCUACCAAGGCGGUGACGGGUAGCCGGCCUGGGAGGGUGGACGGCCACACGGGGACUGAGACACGGCCCAGACUCCUGCGGGAGGCAGCAGUGGGGAAUAUUGCACAAUGGGCGCAAGCCUGAUGCAGCGACGCCGCGUGAGGGAUGGAGGCCUUCGGGUUGGGAACCUCUUUCGCCAGUGAAGCAGGCCUGCUCCUGUGUGGGUGGGUUGACGGUAGCUGGAUAAGAAGCGCCGGCUAACUACGUG